rnacentral:rRNA from 1 species
UGCCAGACUCCUACGGGAGGCAGCAGUAGGGAAUAUUGCUCAAUGGGGGAAACCCUGAAGCAGCAACGCCGCGUGGAGGAUGAAGGUUUUAGGAUUGUAAACUCCUUUUGUUAGAGAAGAUUAUGACGGUAUCUAACGAAUAAGCACCGGCUAACUCCGUGCCAGCAGCCGCGGUAAUACGGAGGGUGCAAGCGUUACUCGGAAUCACUGGGCGUAAAGAGUGCGUAGGCGGGGUAAUAAGUCAGAUGUGAAAUCCUGUAGCUUAACUACAGAACUGCAUUUGAAACUGUUACUCUGGAGUGUGGGAGAGGUAGGUGGAAUUCUUGGUGUAGGGGUGAAAUCCGUAGAUAUCUGGAGGAACAUCAGUGGCGAAGGCGACUAUCUGGCACAUAACUGACGCUGAGGAGCGAAAGCGUGGGUAGCAAACAGGAUUAGAUACCCUCGUA